UACGGAGGGUGCAAGCGUUAUCCGGAUUCACUGGGUUUAAAGGGUGCGUAGGCGGAUUGGUAAGUCCGUGGGGAAAUCUCUAAGCUUAACUUGGAAACUGCCAUGGAUACUAUUAGUCUUGAAUAUUGUGGAGGUUAGCGGAAUAUGUCAUGUAGCGGUGAAAUGCUUAGAUAUGACAUAGAACACCAAUUGCGAAGGCAGCUUACUACACAACGAUUGACGCUGAGGCACGAAAGCGUGGGGAUCAAACAGG
rnacentral:rRNA from 1 species